rnacentral:lncRNA from 1 species
GCACUCCCUCCCUCCAUGUAACAGGUAUGAUCUAGUGCUGGGGUUGGUGACAAACAUAACAAAGUCAUGGCCAACAGCCUAGAGGGAAGGCAGAUAAUGAACAAGUAAAUAAGAAUAUAUACAGACACUGGGAGGUCAUAAAUGCUAAGAAAAAGAACGCUGUUAUUGGAAACUUAGACUGUAUAUCUGCACCCAGGUCUGAGCCAGAAGGUGAAUCAACUGCUGAAGGAGAGAAGGACCAGAAUAAUGAAGGCGGGGACCAGAGUGUUGAAGGCGACAGGAUCCCACCAACAGAGAGGAGCAGUGACCAGAACGAUGACGAGGCUGUCGAUGCCGCAAAGCUUUCUGAAGACGAUGAGAAAGUCACAACUGAAGGAGAACCAAGAUUGAGGGGAGAAGUCGAAAGUGUUGAAGAAGUGGAGACAGAAGAGGAAUUUGAAUCUGAAGGAGAGUUCGAAUCCGAUAUGGAAGGCACAUCACCCGAAGGGAAAGUCAGUUCUAUGGAUCUGGCUUCUUUAUACAAAAGUCCUGCGGAGAUGCCCAGAGAGGAAGCGGGCCCCACAUACCUGUACGAACAUGUGGGCGGGGAAGCUGUUCCUGAAGACAGAGGAGCCCCCGGUCUGUCAGAAUCCGGAGAACCAAGGGACAUCUCCGCACAGCCAUCCCUGCAAGGCUUGGGCUUAUCCGAGCAAAUAGGCCGGGAUGCUUCCAGACCCCAGACUAGCACGUCGAAAUCCUCGCACGAAGAGCUCCAGCAAAAAGUCUUCCCUCUGGGGACACGACACCAUCUCCGACUGAGCCAGGGAAGUAGCAUCACGUCCUUGGACUUUGACGAGCUGCUCUUGAGCACGAAAGAACCCUUCACGCAGGAGCCAGGUACCACGGCACCCGCCGGGCCGUCCCAUCCUGUCCACGGGAUAAGCC